rnacentral:rRNA from 1 species
AUUGAACGCUGGCGGCAGGCCUAACACAUGCAAGUCGAACGGUAACAGGAAGAAGCUUGCUUCUUUGCUGACGAGUGGCGGACGGGUGAGUAAUGUCUGGGAAACUGCCUGGUGGAGGGGGAUAACUACUGGAAACGGUAGCUAAUACCGCAUAACGUCGCAAGACCAAAGAGGGGGACCUUCGGGCCUCUUGCCAUCGGAUGUGCCCAGAUGGGAUUAGCUAGUAGGUGGGGUAACGGCUCACCUAGGCGACGAUCCCUAGCUGGUCUGGGAGGAUGACCAGCCAAACGGGAAAUGAGACAGGGGCCAGACCCCUACGGGGGGCAGAAGUGGGGAAAAUUGCAAAAUGGGCGGAAGCCUGAGGCAGCCAUGCCGGGGGUAAGAAGAAGGCCUUCGGGUUGUAAAGUACUUUCAGGGGGGAGGAAGGGAAGAAAGUUAAUACCUUUGCUCAUUGACGUUACCCGGAGAAGAAGCACCGGCUAACUCCGG